GCCUUCGUGGUGUAACGGUAGCACACUCGGCGCGUAUUCGAGAGGUCCAGGUUCGAUUCCCGGCAAGGGCA
rnacentral:tRNA from 1 species